GAGGAUAUAGCUCAGUGGUUGAGCGCAUGCCUAGCAUGCACAAGGUCCUGGCUUCAAUCUCCAGUACCUCCA
rfam:Camelus ferus unplaced genomic scaffold scaffold161, whole genome shotgun sequence.